rnacentral:sRNA from 1 species
UUACCGUCAGUGCGUGAUAGGCCGAUAA